UACGAGGGGGCGAGCGUUGUUCGGAAUUAUUGGGCGUAAAGGGUGCGUAGGCGGUUUGGUAAGUCUUGUGUGAAAUCUACAGGCUCAACUUGUAGUCUGCACGAGAAACUGCCGGGCUUGAGUGCGGCAGAGGAGACUGGAAUUCCUGGUGUAGCAGUGAAAUGCGUAGAUAUCAGGAGGAACACCGGUGGCGAAGGCGGGUCUCUGGGCAGUAACUGACGCUGAGGAGCGAAAGCAUGGGGAGCGAACAGG
rnacentral:rRNA from 1 species